GACGAACGCUGGCGGCGUGCUUAACACAUGCAAGUCGAACGGAAAGGCCCUGCUUGCAGGGUACUCGAGUGGCGAACGGGUGAGUAACACGUGGGUGAUCUGCCCUGCACUUCGGGAUAAGCCUGGGAAACUGGGUCUAAUACCGGAUAGGAGCCAUUUUUAGUGUGAUGGUUGGAAAGUUUUUUCGGUGUAGGAUGAGCUCGCGGCCUAUCAGCUUGUUGGUGGGGUAAUGGCCUACCAAGGCGGCGACGGGUAGCCGGCCUGAGAGGGUGGACGGCCACAUUGGGACUGAGAGACGGCCCAGACUCCUACGGGAGGCAGAAGGGGGGAAGAUUGCACAAUGGGCGCAAGCCUGAUGCAGAGACGCCGCGUGGGGGAUGACGGCCUUCGGGUUGUAAACUCCUUUCGCUAGGGACGAAGCUUUUUGUGACGGUACCUAGAUAAGAAGCACCGGCUAACUACGUG
rnacentral:rRNA from 1 species